CCUACGGGAGGCAGCAGUGAGGAAUAUUGGUCAAUGGGCGUAAGCCUGAACCAGCCAAGUCGCGUGAGGGAAGACUGCCCUAUGGGUUGUAAACCUCUUUUGUCAGGGAGCAACGCCGGCUACGUGUAGACGGACUGAGAGUACCUGAAGAAAAAGCAUCGGCAAACUCAGUGCCAGCAGCCGCGGUAAUACGGAGGAUGCGAGCGUUACCCGGAUUUAUUGGGUUUAAAGGAUGCGGAGGCGGUAUGCCAAGUCAGCGGUAAAGUCGCGGGGCUAAACCUAGCUUCGCCGUUGAAACUGGCGUGCUUGAGUGGGCGAGAAGAAUGCGGAAUGCGUGGUGUAGCGGUGAAAUGCAUAGAUAUAUGGAAGAACACCAGUGGCGAAAGCGGCUCUCUGGUCUGUAACUGACGCUGAGGUUCGAAAGCGUGGGUAGCAAACAGGAUUAGAUACCCGUGUAGUC
rnacentral:rRNA from 1 species